rnacentral:rRNA from 1 species
UACGUAGGGUGCGAGCGUUGUCCGGAAUUACUGGGCGUGAAGAGCUCGUAGGUGGUUUGUCGCGUUGUUCGUGAAAUCUCACGGCUUAACUGUGAGCGUGCGGGCGAUACGGGCAGACUAGAGUACUGCAGGGGAGACUGGAAUUCCUGGUGUAGCGGUGGAAUGCGCAGAUAUCAGGAGGAACACCGGUGGCGAAGGCGGGUCUCUGGGCCGAUACUGACGCUGAGGAGCGAAAGCGUGGGGAGCGAACAGG